rnacentral:rRNA from 1 species
GACGUAGGGGGCAAGCGUUAUUCGGAAUUAUUGGGCGUAAAGCGCUCGUAGGCGGGACUGGAAGUCCGUGUUGAAAGACCUCGGCUCAACUGAGGGACCGGCUCGGAUACUCUAGUUCUUGAGGCAAUCAGAGGGUGAUGGAAUUCCCGGUGUAGCGGUGAAAUGCGUAGAUAUCAGGAGGAACACCUGUGGCGAAGGCGGCUUCCUGGCCCACAACUGACGCUGAGGCGCGAAAGCUAGGGGAGCAAACAGG